UCCAUGUAGUCACUACUUGGGGAAGGGGAAUGGGUGGUAUCAGCAAUUCAAGACUGAUUUCUUUUCCAUCUUCAGCGCCCCUUUCCUUGAUAUGAUGUUAAAACCAGAACAAGAAACAGAUCGAGGAAGAGGCAGAGUAACAACAGCCGGGAAGAAGAUACAGUUUUGUCAUUUUGUAGUGAGACUGUGCCCUAUACAUGAACCUAUUUGCCAGACCCAUCAAGUGAAUUCCGUGAUUCUUAUGAAAAAUGCCAUUAGACCUGUGAGAGGGGCUGUGACAGUGGAACCCGAAUGAAGACAGGAAAAGUCUGUAGAGGACUGAUGGUUAUGUUCACCAUUCAAAUUGCAAGAAAACCAAUAAGAAGUCAGUAAAGUG
rnacentral:lncRNA from 10 species